rnacentral:rRNA from 1 species
UACGUAGGGGGCAAGCGUUGUCCGGAUUUAUUGGGCGUAAAGAGCGUGUAGGCGCCAGACAGGUCCGUUGUGAAAACUCGAGGCUCAACCUCGAGACGCCGAUGGAAACCGUCUGGCUAGAGUCCGGAAGAGGAGAGUGGAAUUCCCGGUGUAGCGGUGAAAUGCGCAGAUAUCGGGAAGAACACCCGUGGCUAAGGCGGCUCUCUAGUACGGUACUGACGCUGAGACGCGAAAGCGUGGGGAGCGAACAGG